rnacentral:rRNA from 1 species
UACGAAGGGGGCUAGCGUUGAUCGGAAUCACUGGGCGUAAAGCGCACGUAGGCGGACUGGUCAGUUGGGGGUGAAAUCCCGGGGCUCAACCUCGGAACUGCCUUCGAUACUGCCAGUCUUGAGUCCGAGAGAGGUGAGUGGAAUUCCUAGUGUAGAGGUGAAAUUCGUAGAUAUUAGGAAGAACACCAGUGGCGAAGGCGGCUCACUGGCUCGGUACUGACGCUGAGGUGCGAAAGCGUGGGGAGCAAAUAGG